rnacentral:rRNA from 1 species
AUUGAACGCUGGCGGCAUGCCUUACACAUGCAAGUCGAACGGCAGCACGGGUGCUUGCACCUGGUGGCGAGUGGCGAACGGGUGAGUAAUACAUCGGAACAUGUCCUGUAGUAGGGGAUAGCCCGGCGAAAGCCGGAUUAAUACCGCAUACGAUCUACGGAUGAAAGCGGGGGACCUUCGGGCCUCGCGCUAUAGGGUUGGCCGAUGGCUGAUUAGCUAGUUGGUGGGGUAAAGGCCUACCAAGGCGACGAUCAGUAGCUGGUCUGAGAGGACGACCAGCCACACUGGGACUGAGACACGGCCCAGACUCCUACGGGAGGCAGCAGUGGGGAAUUUUGGACAAUGGGCGAAAGCCUGAUCCAGCAAUGCCGCGUGUGUGAAGAAGGCCUUCGGGUUGUAAAGCACUUUUGUCCGGAAAGAAAUCCUUGGCCCUAAUACGGUCGGGGGAUGACGGUACCGGAAGAAUAAGCACCGGCUAACUACGUG